ACAGAGGUCCCAAGCGUUGUUCGGAUUCACUGGGCGUAAAGGGUGCGUAGGUGGUGGGGUAAGUCGGAUGUGAAAUCUCCAAGCUCAACUUGGAAACUGCAUUGGAAACUACCUUGCUAGAGGAUUUGAGGGGGGAUUGGAAUACUUGGUGUAGCAGUGAAAUGCGUAGAUAUCAAGUGGAACACCAGUGGCGAAGGCGAAUCCCUGGAAAAUACCUGACACUGAGGCACGAAAGCUAGGGGAGCAAACAGGA
rnacentral:rRNA from 1 species